AAUAGAUAGUAUAAGAUUUGGUAGUACGUAAGGUUUUGAUCCUUAGUGUACAGGUUCGUGUCCUGUUCUUUUA
rnacentral:tRNA from 3 species